GUAAAGUCUCUAAAGAUUGGGAGCAAGAGAAAAGGAUGUACGUCCGGUUGGUUCACAAACAUGUCAGUGAGGCUUCAAAUGCGGAUCAAGAUGCCGUCGGUGAAAUGCAAGGUCUUAUGGCUCAAGUGGGUUACGAGUCUUCGGAAAGACCGUGGCAACAUCCCUCUGACCUCACAUGCAGGAUGUACAAGGUACGCUUAAGGAAAGGCGGAAGGAAAAUAUCCCUGGCUGAAUGGCAGAGCAAGAACUCAGGGAUGCAGAGGCGAUUUGAAUAUUUGUUGUGAUGGUUGCCCUUGUUACAUGUUUGCAGUGUUUUUCAACUAAAUGCAUGUCGUGUUUAAAUGUUUAAAUGCUUUAGCAGAUAUUUUUGAUGUCGAAAUUACUAUACAGUUCAGUAAACAAGCAACAUAGCUUUUUGAGCAUCUUAAUGUUUGCUGUUUUACCGUUGCUUAAACUUUGUUACAUAUACUUUAAGUAAUGCGUGUUUUUGUACUUACUGUGAGAAAUGUUGCACUUGGAAUUGUGAUUUUU